rnacentral:rRNA from 1 species
GACGAACGCUGGCGGCGUGCUUAACACAUGCAAGUCGAACGGAAAGGCCUGCUUUCCCUUGUGGAUUGCGGGUACUCGAGUGGCGAACGGGUGGGUAACACGUGAGUGAUCUGCCCCCAACUUGGGUAUAAGCCUGGGAAACUGGGUCUAAUUCCCGAUAGGACUGCAGGGUGGUGCCUGUGGUGGAAAACGAUUUUCUAGUGGUUGGGGAUGAGCUCGCGGCCUAUCAGCUUGUUGGUGGGGUAAUGGCCUACCAAGGCGGCGACGGGUAGCCGGCCUGGGAGGGUGGACGGCCACAUUGGGACUGAGAUACGGCCCAGACUCCUACGGGAGGCAGCAGUGGGGAAUAUUGCACAAUGGGCGGAAGCCUGAUGCAGCGACGCCGCGUGGGGGAUGACGGCCUUCGGGUUGUAAACUCCUUUCGACCGCGAGGAAGCCACCUGGUUGGAAGGGUGGUGACGGUAGUGGUAGAAGAAGCACCGGCUAACUACGUG